rnacentral:rRNA from 1 species
GUGGGGAAUAUUGGGCAAUGGGGGAAACCCUGACCCAGCAACGCCGCGUGAAGGAAGAAGGUUUUCGGAUCGUAAACUUCUAUCCUUGGUGAAGAUAAUGACGGUAGCCAAGAAGGAAGCCCCGGCUAACUACGUGCCAGCAGCCGCGGUAAUACGUAGGGGGCAAGCGUUGUCCGGAAUGAUUGGGCGGAAAGGGCGCGUAGGCGGCCUGGUAAGUCUGGGGUGAAAGUCCUGCUUUUAAGGUGGGAAUUGCUUUGGAUACUGUCGGGCUUGGGUGCAGGAGAGGUAAGCGGAAGUCCCGGUGUAGCGGUGAAAUGCGUAGAGAUCGGGAGGAACACCAGUGGCGAAGGCGGCUUACUGGACUGUAACUGACGCUGAGGCGCGAAAGUGUGGGGAGCAAACAGGAUUAGAUACCCUGGUAGUCC